GUGCCGGUCUCCCGCAACGGCAGGUUGUGAACCCCGUCAGGCCCGGAAGGGAGCAGCGGCAGCAAUCGCGUCCGUGUGCCGGGACCGGGCCGGUGCAGG
rnacentral:SRP_RNA from 1 species